AACAGGGAACCCGAAAACUGAAUAGAGUAGGGG
rnacentral:ncRNA from 1 species